rnacentral:rRNA from 1 species
AUACGGAGGAUGCGAGCGUUAUCCGGAUUUAUUGGGUUUAAAGGGUGCGUAGGCUGUGCGUUAAGUCAGGGGUGAAAUGCCGUCGCUCAACGACGGAGCUGCCCUUGAUACUGGCGUGCUGGAGUACGGAUGCCGUUGGAGGCAUGAGUGGUGUAGCGGUGAAAUGCUUAGAUAUCACUCAGAACACCGAUUGCGAAGGCAUCUGACGAAUCCGUCACUGACGCUGAGGCACGAAAGCGUGGGGAUAGAACAGGAUUAGAUACCCUGGUAUUCCACGCCGUAAACGAUGAUGACUAACCGUCGGCGAUAGACAGCCGGUGGCCAAGCGAAAGCGAUAAGUCAUCCACCUGGGGAGUACGUCGGCAACGAUGAAACUCAAAUGAAUUGACGGGG